UAUAUGGGAUAUGGGAUAUGGGAUCUAUGGGAUAUGGGAUAUGGGGUACCGGGUACCAGGGGGGCACCGACCCGACCCCAUAGAGAGACAGAGACUGCAGAGGGAGCGGGACGGGGCACGGCAGUGCCAGCAGCCCCGGAGCGAGGACGGCCCCGGGUCCCUGGAGGACUUCAUCCACCUCUGCUCCGAGUUCGGAUAGUGCCCCGGGACCCCCAGGGACCCCCGGGACCUCCCCGGACCCACAGGACCCCCAGGGACCCCCGGGACCCCCCCAGAUCCCCGGGACCCCCAGGGGACCCCCGGGACCUCCCCGGACCCACAGGACCCCCAGGGACCCCCGGGACCCCCCCAGAUCCCCGGGACCCCCCCCAGAUCCCCGGGACUCCCAGGGACCCACAAGACCCCCAGGGACCCCUGGAAAUGCCCCAGACCCACGAGACCCCUAGGGACCCCCAGGACCCCCCCAGACCCCCGGGACCCCCCCGCACCCACCAGACCCCCAGGGGACCCCCGGGACCCCCCCAGACCCCCAGGACCCCCCUGGACCCACGAGACCCCCAGGGGACCCCCAGGAACCCCCGGACCCAUGAGACCCCCCUGGACCCACGAGACCCCCAGGGGACCCCCAGGGCCCCCCCAGACCCCCAGGACCCCCCCGGACCCACGAGACCCCCAGAGCCCCCUCUGGCCUCCUGGGAUCCCCACGGACUCUGCCCGGGACCCAUCCGGCCCCCCCGAACCCCCAGGGACACCCCCGGGACCCCUCUGGACCCCUGGGAACCCCCAGGACCCCUCUGGACCCCUGGGAACCCCCGGGACCCCUCUGGACCCCUGGGAACCCCCGGGACCCCCCGAACCCCCAGGGACACCCCCGGGACCCCUCUGGACCCCCGGGACCCCCAGAACCCCCAGGGACACCCCCGGGACCCCUCUGGACCCAUGAGACCCCCAGGGAACCCCCUCUGGACCCCCGGGAUCCCCCAGACCCCCGGGACCCCCCUGACCCCCCCAUGCCCAGCCCCGGGUGGGUUCUGGAACGUUCUGCGGGGGGGGGGGGGGGAUGUGCCGCUCGCUGGGGUGGGGGGGCUCACAGGGGGGUCCCACCCCCCGGGGUGAGGGCAGGGGGGGUCAGGGGGGUCAGGGGGGUCAGUGGGGUCAGUCCCAGCACUGCCCCUUCAGGGGGGGCAGCUCGGGGGGUCUCAGGCCCAGGGGGGCCGGGGGGGCCGUGCUGGGGGUACCACGGGGGGGGGGCUGAACUCAGGGAAUCGCAGCUGGGGGGCUCAGCU